UUAGCGGAAAGUAGCUUGCUACUUUGCCGGCGAGCGGCGGACGGGUGAGUAAUGUCUGGGGAUCUGCCUGAUGGAGGGGGAUAACUACUGGAAACGGUAGCUAAUACCGCAUAACCUCGCAAGAGCAAAGUGGGGGACCUUCGGGCCUCACGCCAUCGGAUGAACCCAGAUGGGAUUAGCUAGUAGGUGGGGUAAUGGCUCACCUAGGCGACGAUCCCUAGCUGGUCUGAGAGGAUGACCAGCCACACUGGAACUGAGACACGGUCCAGACUCCUACGGGAGGCAGCAGUGGGGAAUAUUGCACAAUGGGCGCAAGCCUGAUGCAGCCAUGCCGCGUGUGUGAAGAAGGCCUUCGGUGUAAACACUCAACAAAAACCCGAACGGAACU
rnacentral:rRNA from 1 species